GUAGUACAAAUGGUUAGUGCAGUCAGCUGCUAACUGAAAAGUUGGUGGUCCGAGUCCACCC
rnacentral:tRNA from 1 species